rnacentral:rRNA from 1 species
UACGGAGGGUGCGAGCGUUGUCCGGAAUCACUGGGCGUAAAGGGCGCGUAGGCGGCUCAUUAAGUGGCUGGUGAAAUCCCGGGGCUCAACUCCGGGGCUGCCGGUCAGACUGGUGGGCUUGAGCACGGUAGAGGCGGAUGGAAUUCCCGGUGUAGCGGUGGAAUGCGUAGAGAUCGGGAAGAAUGCCGGUGGCGAAGGCGUUCCGCUGGGCCGUUGCUGACGCUGAGGCGCGACAGCGUGGGGAGCAAACAGG